UGUGGGAGCUGGCUUGCCUGCGAUGCAGGCACCUCGGUAUGUCAGUGAGACCGAGGCGAUUUGAUCGCAGGCAAGCCAGCUCCUACA
rnacentral:misc_RNA from 1 species